AGAGGACAAAAAGAAGAGUCCUUCUUGCUUAUAAUGCUGUCUGACCUCUGGGUAAAUAGAGAUGCUGAGCUGUAAUGAUGUGGAUAUCCUUCUAAAUGAGAGGGGCCAGUCAAAGCCCAAAGACCACUCAAAGUGCCAGAUACCACUUUCUAUGAGAGUCAAGGAUAUGAGUUGACCAAGAAGAUAAUUAAACCACAUCCCCAGAUAGUGGAGCUUUCUGAUAAUUAGAAAUUGGCCUUUUCUGGAGUAAAUUUUUCUUUAUUCUAUUUAAAAUACAUUGAAACAGUUUUCCUUGAGUUCACUUUUCCAUGCCUCUACCAGCCUAAAUCAUGGUAAGAUCCAAGGCCAGACUUGGAAUGUGGACAUGGCUUGCUCUAGCAUGUUCUUAGGGUAAAGAGCCAAAGAAUCCUCUCUGCUCUGUAUAACUCAGCCUGGCUCACCUGUGCUCCAUGUAAGGGCUUUAUCACAUAAAUCCUUUUAGAAGUGAACUGUUGGGAUCUGCCCAGAGUGAAUUUUCUGCAUAGCUUCCUGUCAAGUCUGCAUCAGAGUUAUCUGAUUGAAGUCUCAACAUUUUGGGAACUGAUAUCUUUCCAUCUCUCUUUUCACCAGGGGCAUGACUAAGACAGGCUUAUUUUCCAAAGCUCACUUCAGGGAACAUCUAGUGUAUUUCUUGACUGGAAUGCAGUAUUUGAAACUUGAAUUGCCUUGAACAAUAUCAGAAGUGUGGCUGUAUGACUAAUUUGUACACUUCCCUUAGUGGGGCUAGGGUUUGACUUUCACAACCCCCACUUGGAGGAACUUGUUUCAGAAGAAUUGGUGGGCAAGGUUUCCGACCAUUUUUUGUCUCUGUGUCUGGUGUGUUGAGAUAUUAUUCUACUAGGAACCAAUGUUUCUGCCCCUGUAACAGAGUAUAAGUAGGGAGUUUCUGCCCACCACUUUCUGUUUUGGUUGACUCUACCUUUCAGUUAGGAGUUGCAUUUUUGGUGGGGUGCAAGUAAAACCUUGCAUGCCUGCUGCCUCUGGCAUAUCUGAUGUUUGGAAGAGCCCUUGAAGCACAAUAUAUGCUUCAGUUAGACUCAAAUUUAAAGUUGAAUAUCCACCAUAUGUUAGGUAUUGUGAGAGAUACAGAGAUAAAUUGCAUACACAUCCCUGCCCUUGGGCACUUCCCCAAUAGAUUUUUUUUCCUCCCAUAGCUCAGAGCAACUGUUGUAAUUUUCUGGGGAAGAGAGCAGUCUGCUCCUCAGGCCCCAUCUCUUUAAAUUCUCUAUCUGAAUUAGAUUUGCUAAUCUCCUUUUCACAGAUAAGACUACCAAGGCUUGAGAGUUCAGCAGCCCUUUGCUAAAUCGGGAAUGACACUUAGCACUGAGUUAAACUUCACUUGUUUGUCUGUCUAUCCCAGUAAACUAUAAGCUUUUCUAGUUAAACAUUCUGUAUUCUCAUUUCCAUGUUGCCUUUAACGAGAAUGCUAAUGGGCACAUGAAGGAUAUUUAUGUGCCUUCAUUUAUAUCAUCAUUGUUUUGUUAUUGGUUCUAAAUACCACUUCUGAACUCAUUGUAUAUGUGACUCUAGAUGUUUUGUAGCAUGGACGGUUCUAUUAGGAGAAUCACUGUAUAACAUUUAGAGAAUAUGAUCAACAAGGGGAUACUUCAUUUAUACCAGAGAGUCUUUUUAAUUUCUCAUGCCAGUUUCAACCACCAUAUACAUGGUAUUGCUCUGUCAUGGGUAAAUUCUGUACCAGAACAUGGCAGAAACAGAGAGUGCUAACUUGGAUUUGUCUGUCCUUUGCCUAACAUCUCCCCUUCCUCUUACCUCCCUCCAUUGAAGGCAGGUCCAUAGAAAGUCCAGGAUAUCUGAUUUAGCUCUUCUCAUUUCCUUCAAGACCAGAUUGCAAAAAUUUCUAUUAUACCACCUACUUUACCUCCCCUUUUUCCUCCCACCCCCUAAUUAUAAUACCAUAAACCUUUAGAAUAUUUGCUACAUUUCAGCAUUCUUUUUUUUUCCUGGUAUUUUCCAAAAGCAAGUGAAAGAGACAAUGUAUCCAUCCUAAUGUUUUCUUAACAAAAUAGGUUAAUUUCUACUUCUAAGGAACAGCCUCAAAAAAGGUUAAUUUCUAAUUCUAAGUAACUCUUCACUGAACAGUUACAAUCCCAGAAGGAUUCUGGAGGAUUUUCCCUAGGGUUUCCAAGCACAUUCAAUUCAAUUCAACAAACAUUUAUUUAAUUACUCACUUAAUACCAGUCCCAGGGUUAGAUCUGGAAAGGACAAGAUGAAUCAGUUGUUGUCUCUUCCUUUGUGAUGCUCAUAGCGUAGCUGGGAAGAAUAGCAUAUGCAGUUAGUUAUGAAAGAACAUUGCAAUGCAAGGUUAUGCCCACAUGUUUGGGCAAUAUUGAGCUACCAUUCAGUGUGACUGGAGCAUAGAGGACUUGAAGUAGUGGAAAUUUGGAGUGGAGGAGAGUGGAUAUAGUUUAGGACAAGUUGUAAAAGGUCUUGAAUGCCAAAAUAAGUACUUGGGGUUUUGUUCUGUUGUAUAUGGGGAGACUUCUGAAGAAAAAGAUUAGAGCUCUGUGAUGCUUUGAGUCGGAUGUGUUUUUUAAAAAAUUGAGGUGAAUUCUACACAACAUAAAAUUAAUGACAUAUCUUAAAGCGCGCAAUUCGGAGGCAUUCACAGUAUUGUACAACCAAUGUUUCUCUGAAGUUUCAAAACUUUUUCUCUCUAGUUUCAAAACAGAAAUAUAUCCAUUAAGUAAUCAUUCCUCAUUCCCCUUCCACUAAUCUGCCUCCAUGGACUUGCCUAUUCUGGGUAUUCAUUUCACAUGAAAGAAAUUAUAUAAUAUGUGAACUUUGUAUCUGGCUUCUUUCACUUAACAUGGUGUUUUCAUCUGAUUUGUAGCAUGUUUCAAUGCUUCAUUUCUUUUUAUAACUGAAUAAUGUUCUGUUGCAUGUAUAUACCACAGUGUGUAUAUCCAGUCAUCUCUUGAUAGGCGAUUGAGUUUUUUUCACCCUUUGGCUAUUGUGUAUAAUACUGCUAUAAAUAUUUGUAUAAUAGUUUCUGCAUGGAUAUAUAUUUUCAUUUAUCGUGAGUAUAUACCCAGCUGCAUGGAUUACAUAAGGUUGAAACUGCCAGUCUCCUUAAGUAUACUUUCGCCUAUUGGAAAAUGGGCCAAUAGGAAUUCCCAUUGUGGCUCAGUGGGUUAAGAAUCCAACAUAGUCUCCAUGAGAAUGUGGGUUCAAUCCCUGGCCUCGCUCAGUGGGUUAAGGAUCCAGUGUUGCCUUAAAUGGAGAAGCAGGUCACAGACGUGGCUCAGAUCCAGCACUGCCAUGGCUGUGGUGUAGGCCUCAGCUACAGCUCUGAUUCUACUG
rnacentral:lncRNA from 1 species